UUCGCAAUAAAGAAGAGUAUUGAAAGUUUAUUGCUUGUCCUAUUUAUAUUAAGAUUCUAUUUUUAGUUUUAUUUUAUUUACUUAUCUUAUUUAUAAUGAAUAUUUUUUAUUCUACUUAAUUAUUCAUUUUAGAAGUUAUCAAAAUUUAUCUUCUAGGAAUUUGUAGUUUUUUUAUUUUAGGUAGGACUUAAAUAUCCCACCCAUCAUCCCACAUGAUGCUCUACUUAAAGAAACCUUUGGCGCCUACCUUGGAUGG
rnacentral:lncRNA from 1 species